GGACGGCUAUCUGGGCUGGGAGAGCAUCUGCCCCAUAAGCAGAGGGUCGGCGGUCUGAUCCCGUCAGCGUCCACCA
rnacentral:tRNA from 1 species